rnacentral:rRNA from 1 species
UACAGAGGGUGCGAGCGUUGUCCGGAAUCACUGGGCGUAAAGGGCGCGUAGGUGGCGGCCCAAGUCCAUGGUGAAAGCUCGAUGCUCAACAUCGAGUCGGCCACGGAUACUGGGUCUCGCUCGAGCACUGUAGGGGCAGAUGGAAUUCCGGGUGUAGCGGUGGAAUGCGUAGAGAUCCGGAAGAACACCGGUGGCGAAGGCGGUCUGCUGGGCAGUUGCUGACACUGAGGCGCGAAAGCUAGGGGAGCAAACAGGAGUUAGAAACCCU